GUCACAAAAGAGUUGGACAUGACUUAGCGACUGAACCACAACAAACACAUACAUACAUACAGGUACACAUACACACACACAAACGUAUACAUAUAUGCCAUAGUUGCUGAAUCAUAGUAAAUACUUUUAAAGUAUUAUUGUGGAGGCAGUGUUUUUGCAGCCUUACUCCAGGGCCCAGAUUUUGGGCUGACCUCAAUUUGAACAGGGGAGGCAAAUAACUGAAGUGCUGUUUUGCUCCAGGUUGAUUGGAAAUGACUGAUUAGAAUAUUGUGUAGAGAAGGUUACUGAGGUUUACUCUGAGAUCAGCUGAAAUUAAUUGGAGUUCCUGUAUGCGUGCUCUGUAGUUUUGCCCUUUCUUGAGACCCGUUUGCCGAGUCUGUCAGUCUGUGCCUUUGCUUUGCAGCCUGAGUGUCUGCCUUAGGCAUUUGCUCAGAUUUUUUUGUCAGGACCAGUCUGGCUAUGUUCAAACUCAGUGCAGUUUCCAGCUCAUAGGGCCACUGCCUGCUUGGGUGAGAGCAAAGGAUUUAAUGAAUAAGAACUAUGUAUGGAUGGGUUCUAACAAGAGGGGUUAGCAGGCUGAUUCAAAAAUAACUACACCGCAGCAACUCUGGAAUAAGGUAGACAGCUGAAGAGGUUCAUCUCCAAGAGAGAAUACAUAACCAUCAUGAGUUAGCCCCAAGAUGCCUACUGUGGUGAGAGAGGAGAGAAGGCAUGAACAGAUAUAAAAGCCCUGACCUAUCAGUGUCAAUCCUGUCUUCCUACUGACCACCGCCUGACCUCUCUGGGCCUCAAUUACUCAUUGAGAAAUAGAGCUGGAUGGUUGUUAAUGAUGGCAUGACACUACUGCAGUAGGGGAGAGAGACAUAUAAACUCAACUCAACUCCACUGAAACAAAAGAUCCUUCAAAAUCUGGUGCCAUCUGCCUGGGAAACCUAAUCAAUUAGUCUCCCACAGUUUGUAUUGUGUGCUCAAGUGCAGCUUGGAACAGCCCCUCCCAUGUCCUGCUCUCAUUUUCAUCUCUGGGUUUUGCUUCUGUUGUUCUCAUUCUCCCCGCCUCCUGCAUCCUUGUCAUGAUUUUCACCCUUCAGAGGUUCAUUCAGUGAAGGCCCUGAAUCUCCAGAGUCUUAUUUGAUAUCUUUAGGUCUUUUUUAUGAACUUUAAAACUUAGUCUUCUUGCCACACAAAUUAGCAUUUAAUUAUCUUGCAUAUUGUGUUUGGAACAUACGUCAUUUUUUUUCCAGAAUUAUGGCCUUUAUUUUUUCCCUUAAUUAUUCAAUAAAGGUUCCUUAAAAAAAGUAAUGGCCUCAUUCAGUGAGGAACAUGUGGAAUUUUGAAAAGAUACUGGGCCUAGAGUUCAGAGGGAUUUGAUUCUCAAUUUUUCUACUGACCAGCUGUUUGAAUAUGUCUCAUCUCUGAGCUUUAAUUUCUUUAUCUGUAAAAUAGUGAGGAUUCAUUCCAAUUAUGGUUAUGAUUAAGUUAGGUGACAUUAUAUUUGCAAAAGUGCCUAACACUGUGCAUGGCCCAAGGUUCAUUUAUAAUAGAUAUUUAUUGAAUCUUUUUAUCAUUUUUAUGUCUAGUAAUUGUCUCCCUAAUUUGAUUUUAGAUUCUUUUAGAGCCAACAAACAUGGCCUAUAUUCUUUUCCACAGUCUCAGAGUGUUGAGUACAUAGUAGGCACCCAAUAAACGCUGGCUGAAGGAAAUGAUUAAUUGCACACUUAGAAGGAAAUGGCUGAUUGUGUGGUGUAUUCUGUGAAGAGUUUAACAGAUGCUCAGUAAGGAAAUGAGUCCUCCAGACACCUACCAAAUAGAGGCUGAAAUUACACAGUUCUAGGAAGUACUAGUUUAGAUUAAUGGCCUUUUGAUCUUCAAAGACUCCCCAACAACCUUUAAAACACUAGGGCAUUCUAAGCAGAAGUCAGAAAAAAAGCUAGGAACCAGAUACAACUAUGAGUAACCCUGAAAAAAACUAAAAGUCAGGCCCAGCAUAAAAAUGCAAUCAGAACUGGGGUUCCGCAUCCCCUCACUCCCUUUUUGUUGAGCUUCCUCAGAGUAAUUUGCUUCUAAACAUCCCCAUGUUAUAAAUGAAUAGAACAUCAGAUGCUGAGAGUGAUUUAUUAUUCAUCAUGAAUAACAAGUGAAUGAAAUAAUUUAACAACCACUAAUAUCUAAAAGGGACCCACUCAUUUUUAAUCAUCUCAUAUGACAUGUGAUCACUCAUUCACCUACAUCCCCCUGAGCUCAUCCCUCUGCAAGGAAGCCUUAGCGGGCAGCAGAAUGCUGUGUAUGUACUUCUGUGACAUGAGUAUAUCAUUAGGUGAAUAUUACAGCCUGUGGGAUCAGGACUAUGUUUUUGUGUGGUGUGACAACUUGACACAAUCCAUACACAUGUCACCUUUUGCAUCCCAUUAGUAUCGAGGGAGCCCACAAAUGCUAAUACGGCAUAGUGAUAAUUAUACAGCUCCCAGUUCUGAGGCUGGGAUUAGAAAUGGCAGCUGUGUUGAUGGAUAUAAAUUGCCGUGGUUUUGUCACAUGAGAGAGGCUACUAAGGGAAUGGUAGCUUGAAGAUAAUCUUUGUCAUGAGAAUGAGUCUAAAGCAUUUAGAAUAGGAAGCAUUUCCUAUCCUAAUUAUAAUCAUGCUGGGGAAUAUUGUACUAGUUAUUUUUGAGGCACAGGAGAGUGUAGAAUGUCUGGCACAUUUGGCGAAUUUCUUUUUUCUAGACACACCAAUUGUAUAUCUAGGAAUUUAAGGGAGGUAAAAUCAAGUUUUGCUGUGAUUAUUAAUCCACACAUCCUGUGAUAAAGGGCAGAGGAGAAAAUACAAUUGAUUAGGAGGCCAGUUAAAUUGGCCAGUUAAUCUACUUGGGUUCUGGUACAAAAAUUAAUAAUGAUGGUUAACAGUGCCUACUACUUUUGACUGCCCGCCAUAUGCUAGGCACUGUUCACACAUUAUUGUAUUUAAUUCUCAUCACAGUUCUGUGGGGUAGGCAAUGUUAUCCCUAUGUACAAAUGAAGAAAUGCAUUCACUCAGCCUUUGGCUAUAUCAGUGUCAACAAAACAGUUUAGGAAAAAGCUUUGAAUGCAAUCAUAUAGCUUAUCUUGAAAAUAAUAAGUUUAAAAUAUCUCCAUUUUUUAAAAGAAAAUCUGUAUGUGCUUUCAGAUAUAACUCCAGUGGAAUUAUUAUUCUAGAGAGAUUAUUGUUUAUAUUAUUACUCUAUUAUUAUUUCUACUAUUACAUUAUUCUUAUUUUUAGUGGAAUUAUUAUUUCUAGCAUAAUCUCUAAAAAAUGGAAUACUCCUCUGUGCUGAGGUUUAGUAGAUCAAUGUAUAUAAGUGUGUAUCUGAAUCACUUGAGAGGAGAGGACUUCUUCAUAUGUGGAUUUCUGAUUCAUCAGGUCUGUGGUGGGGGCAGGAUGAGAUUCUGCACUUCUCAUCACUUCCAUAGUCAUGCUGAUACUGCUGGUCCAAGCACUCAGAUGGGUGGGACUGUUAAGUGAGAGAGACUGAAAGCAAUCUCUUCUAUG